ensembl:lincRNA
UGGGACUGCUACAAGAGCAGGAAGUAAACAAAUCGCUCCCGCCGUGAAUCUCAGAGCACUGGAGAGGUCUGUAGAGCUCUUCUUGUCAAUGUUCUUUGCAGAGGAAGAAACUGAUUUAAGUCUCGUGCAAGCCACCAUACAGGUGAUGAACAAAACCAAUACGCAAGAACUCAGCUCUCCCACCAGCACCAGCGAUCCUUUCUGCCUCUGCCUGCAGCAGGAAGUCGCGCCAGUCGCCUUUCCUUCGGGUAAUAGGACUCUGGCUUGCGGGGAAGGGUCAGCGGAGGGACCGCCCCGACCCGGAAAGGCUUGGGGACCCGGGGCCCCCUUACUACUGGGAGGAAUGCAGGAGGGGAGGGGGCUCUGGGUGGGCAGGCAUGGAGGCCAAUCGCGGAAGUGUUGAGAUUUGUUUCCGAGGUGGAGAUCCGCCUGGACAGACCACGAUUCAGCCCUCCACCGUGAGUUUGGGGCGGGGUGGGGCCCUAACUUCGGGCAGCGUCUUCAGUUUCCUGGGGUUGUGCCUGCGCUUCCCUGAGCCGGAGCGUAUCCCGUGCCCUUUGAGCCGGAGGUGUCUAAAUCCAUUUCCUGUUGCUACUAACACAGUAUGUCAGAGGGGUCACAUUAAUCCCCACCUGAGAAGCAUCCAAGGUUUGGGAAGAGUCUGUUUCUUGAGGAAGGCAUUGCCAAGACUCUGUGUGAUUGAUUCAUGGUGCAAUGCCGGGAUGAAGGGUAUGUGAUUAGUAAGUCAGUCCACUGACUGGUUUGGCACCACCCCAGUCCAGGUAGCCUAGAUAGAGUAUAAAAGGGGCAGAAAGACACAGUGAAGGCCCCUUGUUGCUUUUGCUACCUUGUGGACACCUUGAAUUGUUUGCAGUCAGUCAAGCAACCAUACCUUGAUGGACUGAAACCUCUACAAACUGUGAGCUAAAUAAACCUUUCCCUAUUUAACUUUGGGUGUGGAGUAUUGUGUCUCAACAAUGAGAGAAAAGUAACCAAGACACCAAGUAUGAUGCUCACUCAUGACAGGCCAUCUGCUAAGAGGCUGCGGAAACAGAAAGAAACAUCGCCUCCUCCACCCUCUCGAUUAACUGUAACCAGUCCUCAGGCAGAAAGUUCGCUUCCAUCACAGGCCAUGCAGAGUCUACCCUAUGUUCAUUCAGGGUGGGCAUCUGCCCAUCUGAGUUUUCCAAAACUCAGGCAGGAGCUACAUUUGCUACUGAGAGCCCAAAUUAGGCUCCUCCCACCCCCAGGGUUUGUGAGGGAGGGUGCCAUUUCUCUGCAUGGAUCCAUGAAAGGAGGCGGCAAGCUCCUUGAGAAGACAGUCUUGGCUAUAAGAUGGGAAGAGGCUUACUGAUAUUGCAUUUACAAGGACAAUUUAUUCUAAAACUGCUUUUAAGAAGGAAGAGGAAACAUCUUUUUCGUUUCUCUCAACAAGUAGAAUUGAACCUCCUGGUUGUAAUUUUCUUUUUUCUCGUACUCUGCUUCUGAGAGCCGUGGCCCAACAUUACUGAGUCAGGCCCCCAGGACUUGAGCCCAACACAGAGACUAUGAAGGUGCUGCUAAUCAAAUGAAGGUCCUGUUCCUGGACUCAGCGCAAAAUCAUAAAUGGGCAGAUCGCAGCUCUGCUAGCAGCUGUGGGUUUUGAGCGCCAAUGACCAUCAGCCCUCGAUGGCUUCAAGUGCCUGUGGCCCUCACCUUACAGCAGCGGGAACCCGAUUGCCAAUUACUGUUGCUAGGCUCUGCCACUAGGUGACGCCACCAGUUGACACCGGUUAAUGCUGAUCAUCACUGGUCAAGGCCAUCAGUUACCGUCCCCGCCUGGUGCGGCCAGUCAUUGCUGCUGCUGGAGGCCGCCAGCAGCUGAUGCCAGUUGGCACUGUGCACCACUGCCUCUGACCUUCGCUGGCUGCUGGUCUCUUUUCCAGUCACUGGAACUCUUCGGGGCCAACAUCCCUAGUAUUUAUGGCUUUAUUAUCAUUACUAUUUUAGCAACUGCUUAGCCCACACUACCAGCGAUACCAAUCCCAAGUAGAUUUAUAGGACCUUCUGGGCUGACACUACUGGAGAAAUGAAUCAUAAGUAGAUUUACAAGACCACCAGAGCCAGGCUGUGAUGCAGCACCAGUGGGUCAGACAGAAUACCCUCCUAUACCAACCUGGAGUUGCUGAGAGGAGUUGUGUUGCCAUGGCAGUGAUUUGUCCAAACUCACACUGCUGACUGCUCUGAAUCUACACCCGCUAGGUCAAAUGUGUAAGAAGUGUGAUGGCGCCGGGUCUGGGUCACCACCAGAGUCCAUGGCACCUGCCCACUCUACAAGCACUCCCACUGGCUGCAAAGGAUGCCUGCAGCACAGCAAGUGCAUUCAGAUGGUUGCUGAACAACUGAGCAGAGAAGAGAGGUGUUUGUGAGGGGCCAGGUGAGCCUCGGGUGGGAGAAGCACAGUGAGAAACUUGUUGCUGAGCAAUGGGGUGUGGACUCUGACCCGGGACUGGAGAGUCCCACUGUUAGUGGCAAUGCCCCCAGCCUUCUAGCAUGUAUGGGCUGGGGCCUUGGGAGGGCUUCAGAGAUGGCUGAGUAUGCUGCACAGGAUGAGACAGGAAGAUCACCAGUUCAAGGCCAGCCAGGGAAACUUGAUGAAACCCUCCCACAAGAUUAAAAGUGGUACAGUUACAUUUACAGGCCCCUGGGUCCAAUCCCAAAUAUGGAGGUGGGGACAGUGUGCUAGGUGGGACAAACCUGAAGUGAACAGGAGGAUGGGUAGUAGGCCUGUCACAAGAGUGAGGGCAGAUAAACAAGUGUAUACUCUCCCUUUGCCCUGCGGGUUAAUUCUGCUAGGAUUGCAAAACCAAAUGGAAUUGGGCGCUCUGUUUUGAGCUCACUGACCUUGGGGUUUAUAAUUAUCAAAUACUCACGAGAUAGCCAAUGUGAUGGCACCUAGCUCUUUCCAAAGCAGGCCCAGUCAGAGGCUGUGGGCUGAAGCUGCCCUGGACACUCUCAGCAGUGUGGUAGAGCCAGCAAAAAAUGUGGGUACAAGGUUGAGACUCUCAGGGUUGGGCUGGAGUCCUGAACCUUCCUCGGCAUCUCAAGUUCAGGCCAUUUAUAAUGAUGACCAUUUUUCCAUAUCAGCCCAAAACUGGAGGAAAGAGGUUUUGCUGAUCUUCUG